CUCCACACACACACACACAAAAAGCAAGCAAUCUAACCACAAAAGCCUGUAACUUGAUUUAUCCGAUUAUUAAUCAAAUAAAAGAAACCAAGGUCCAAAACUGUAUUCAUUCAAAGUCUAAUUUGCUGGAAUAAAAAGGGAUAAAACUAAUUUGCUGUACAAUCCAAACAAGAAAGAGGUGAGGGUAACAAAUAACGAUUAGGUGCCAUUCCAAGUAGCAAAAUUUGUGGAUUGCAGUUGCCAAAAAACACUUGAUAUCUUCACUCUUUAUUUGCAAUUAUUUCUCCCCAAAAAAACAAAAAAUUGAUGUAUAUACAUAUAUAUCUUCGCUCUUCACGUAUGUAUUGCAGUUGCCAACAAUGAUUGAUUAAGACUAAAUAAAUUAUAUAAUUGCCCAACACUAAAACCUGUCAAAUUUUGGAAAGCAAAGAAGAGCAAAGCUAUGAAAUGAAACUGAUGAAUUCUGGAAUUGGGAAAAAGAUAAACAACAAAAAAACAAAAAACCUUACCUUCAGGCCGCCGGAGACACGCCGUUGCCGUGCUGGUGUGGCCGGCGUGCGGGAGGUGCUGGUGUGACCGGCGGCUGGGACUGGGAGGCAGCUGCCGGGCUGAACGCAGAAGCAGAAGCCACAGAAGAAGGCUGAGCACAGGAGCGCCGGUGGCCGGUGGGAUGUCGGCUAAACGUAGAAGCCGCAGAAGAAGGCAGAAGAAGGCUGAACGCGGCCUUUGUCUCCAGACGGCAGUUUGAAACUUGAGAAAAGCCCC
rnacentral:lncRNA from 1 species